rnacentral:lncRNA from 1 species
AGUGUUCAGCCCCUUAACCUAAGGAGGAGCUACACAAAUGAAGAACUGUGGAACUGACCUCAGAUGCUCUCUCGUUGGAAAUUGGCACGCAAACCACAACCACGAUGGCGGCUUCUGAGAGGUGGAGGAGAGGGGUGUGGCAAAGCAGCAAGGAAGGGGGUCUGGGGUCCAGCCCAGCUGGGACAGUGAAGGUUCCCUGUUCAAGGGUCAGAUACCAAGUAUGCUGGGAACAACCAAGACCCAGGGGGCCGCUUGCUGCUAGCUUAUUGUUUGCGGAGUCUUAAAUGUGCAUAACAGCUGUGCACAGUGUUGCAGAGCCAUGCACGAAGCGGACAUUGCAACCAACCAGGACUGGGAAUUCCAUCUUCUCUGCUUUCAAGAGCUCAGGCCUGAUUGGUGGUCCUACCUCCCAACUAUCUCUGGAAUCUCUGCUUUUCUCCUAAUUCCAUUGCUGCAAAGAGUCUAGAUGAAGACUUUGAACUUUUGCCUGGACACCUCCAGUAUCCUGAUGAAGUCGUUCCCUUCAGCCAGGCUCUGUUUCCUCUGAGCCUGGGUGGAAACAAACAGAGCCUGGUCACCCAAGGACAUGAGUAUUGGGAACACGGACUCGGAUGAAAAUCCCAAAAAAAGCCAAAGUCCUCCCAGCGGCCCUCAUCCUCAGUGAUCAGGCCCCGUUGCUGCUCGGACCUCUCUCUCUCUGCUCCGGCCCCGCUGCCUGCUCUGCUGCACUGGGCUUGUGGGGCUGGGGUGGCUCUGGACACUGGGAUAUUUUUAUUUAACUCCCAAGGCAAUUCUAACGUGCAGCCGGGUGGACAGCCAGGAUCUCCAGGAGAAGUUCACGUCCUUCUCUGCCGCAUCUCUAACCCGGCCUGGGUCUAUGGCCCCGGCUCCUCUCCCUCCCCUCCCCAUCUUCUUCUCUCCUCCCAGCCCCCCACGCUUAAAUCACAUCAAACCUCAGCCCGUUCUCUUUUCACCCCUCUGUGCCUUUGCACUUGCAAUCGUUCCUGCAGAAAAGAACCUCUGUUAAUGUUUUGGGAUUUCCUCCAGUCUGGGCAGCCUCCCGUCAUCUCCUCAGUGGACACGUAUCGACCCCUUCUCGUUCACUGUCUUACUUCAUCUUUCAGCUCCACAGAGCAGACUGUGUUUAUCUCUAAUAGUCCUCGUUCUGCUGCAUUUUAAUCAUUUGUUUACCGGCUCUAAAUGUGGAAAUACAGGGGCUUUGGUGCCAGCAGACCUGGGUUGGAAGGCUAAGUUCCGCCACUUAUAUUCUGUGGCUUUGCGUAAGUCACAAAACAGCUCUGAGCCUCAGUUUCCUCAUCUGUAAACCACAAGCCUUCACUCAACCCAUUUUUUAUUGAGCACCUACUAAGUACCAUGCAGGUCAGACCCAUCUUCUCAUUUAACCUUUGC